AAUUUUCUCUGCAUUUUUGUAUGGAAGAUUCAGCUGCAUAUUUUACUCAUUAGAUCAGUAGAAGUGUAUGUACAGAAUAAAUACCUACAACUGGAGCAAUUUAUCUUUUUGAAAUGUUAUUUUCUGGCAUAUUAUCUGCUAUCUGCUUGGACCGUGAAAGAUACCUUUCCGAAUCACUCAUUUUGCCGAGAUGGAAAUAUCUGCACAACUUCUCUGAUACCUUAGUUACUAUUUAGUUUAGUGUUAUUGGGUCAUGUUACGGGAUUAAUGAUGUUAAUGUUCUUAUAUGAAUGCAAUAUGUGUAUCAUUGUUUAAAUGAAUCGAUUAAGUUAUCUUUUCAAUAGUUGAUACUUGUUGCCUUCUUGGAGAGUGACACUUACACACAGAAACACAAAUUUUCUGUCAAUUUAUGCCGUCCUUUGUACUACUGUAAAGCGGAUAGAAUAUGAACAAGCAUAAGUUCCAUCAGUGUCCUUUCCUGAGAUUGGUACAUAUUCUCAUUGUAGUCCAGAAAAGUAUGGACCUACUUGGCUUAUGCUCUUUACGUGGGAUAAGCUCCAUUUGAACGAGACCACUUUGCUUUUUAAUCAUCACUAGUCAAACAACAGCACUUAUGUGCUAUGAUCCUGUAUGUGCUACACAACCUUCAUCAUUUCAGUACUUUUUGCUAGCAUAGGCAGCUGCCUUAUUGCAAUCAUUCUUCUAACCAAGACACUGAAAAGUUAGAUGUGAGUUCUAAGCAGAAGUAGGCGCUAUGUUUCCUUCUGUAUUUAUGCGCCUGUUCUCUAUGUGUGAUUCAGUUGAUUGAAGUGGCACUCGUUAGAACUGUGCCAGUGGUAUAUGUCGACACUUGGGACCACCAGCGAAACAUUUUCAGCUGCUACGGUUUAGUGGUGCUCUGCACUUAAGGGAAUGAACUAUCAGGGAAUAUCCCUCUUUAUGCUUUACUAUCACCGAGUCCACUAACCCUUCCAGUAAGGUCUUCCUUUAGCUACUUACUGGCAAUGGUUAGUUCGUAACGUAACUCUCUUUUUACGCUUCAUCUUUCUUCUCUCUUUGAAACAUUAAGCCCCUCAGAGGUUUUAGCAGAUAACAUUUGUCUUUGUUUCAUGAUGCUUAUGACACUAGCACUGAAUUAUUUCACCAUUCAUAAAUUUACUGUAUUUACUCCUAUAUGCUGAUGACUGCAUGUCCGUGUAGCAUGGUGUAUCAAUUUAUCUCUUUUUCUACUUGCUUGAGUUUAUUUUAAUUAGUGUAUCUACUUAUCAGGUUUUGCAUAUUGUUUGAACUGGAGGGUGGGCUGUCUUGCUAUCAACAUGUAAAGAACUUAUCAAAAGAAUCCAAAGCAUCAUCCUUUGCUCUUCCAUCUUUUGCAAAGCAACAUCAGCUCGUGGGAGCAUAUUCAGUUGUAAGAGACUGGUCCUGGCAGCUGUUCUAGAAUUGUAGGUUAUGUAUGACCUGAAGCUUUCUGCUCUAGUGUCUGUGAACCUCUUCGAAGCUUAGUUGCAUGUGCAUCUUUGCCAGCCUAGAGCCUUCACUGUUUGAUAUAAGUCUACAAAAUGAAAUUUCUCAUGGAGUACACAGUCAAUAGACCUGGUUAACCAGAUAAUGUUAAAAGAAAAUAAACGAAUCUGAUGCAGCUGGUAGGGGGGAAUGGAAGGCAUAAAAAUAUAUUUGGUGCCCCAUUGGAAGUUCAGGGUUUUAUGUAAUUUUUAUGGUAAACAAGAAAAACUGCUUUGGUCUAAGAAUCUUUCCGUUGUCAAUAAAAUUGAAGUUCCUUUCACGUCUCUGAUACUUUUUUUCGAGAAGAGUACACUAGUACACGAUUUGUUCCUUCUCCAACCAUCCUUUGUAAAUUGGUCGUUGCUGGCAUAUAAAGUAAAGUGCAAAUUCAAUUGGAAUCAAUCGUCAAUAGCGCAUACCAAUUGCAUGAGCUACUUAUCUCAUGAAUGGAGGUUCUUCGUCCAAGCGCCACGGCAUCAAUUCUUUUCUCAGUGUCCUUGGCAUCUGUGUUCAACCUCAAGUUGCACGCACAAUUUCGGUGAGCGAUGCUUUUCAUAUCCAUUUUCUUUCUCAUCAAUGCUCCUAGAUGCACAGUUUUAUUUCUUUUGGCUGAUGCUCCUUGCCCACAUCCUAAUCUCAAUAUUCCUCGCGUAGCACUGCAGCUUUCUAUGAUUUUCUCAGAAUAUAUGCUGCCUGAGCCUGCAAAUAAACUAUCACGGCGGCGACUAUCUUACACUUAUUGAUAGUUACUGUUCAGCGAUGCUUGUUGAGCAACUAGUCUGGUCUAGUGGUUAUGUGAUGCUCUUGCAGUUCAUGGGCACCGGGGAAGCACCUGAAAGGGUUCGUUCCUGAUAUGGUAUCUAAUGCCAAAUUUGCACUUGAGAUUUUUUACUUUGUUUAUAUCUGUUUAUAUGUGCUCUGAUGACACGUGGUUAGAUUUGUUUCAAAGAAAUCUAUGAUUAAAAUUAGAUUAUGUUUAGGUGGUCGAGAGGGACAUGUUCCGUAUUCUUUGUUGGGAGCACCUUUGGAGCAUAUGGCAUUUCAAUUCCUGGUCAGUGCUUUUGAUUUUGCUCUCUUUUUCAUAUUCCAGUGAUCAGAUUAACAUUAGUCACUUUCGUGCACGAUAUUCCCCUUUAGAUUGUACGCAGUGGUGCCACAUUUCGCCUCCUGGUUAAUUGCAGAUGUACUAUCACCUUCUCUGGUGUUAGGUGCACCAGGAUUUGUCUGCCUGGUAGAGAUGGUACUGAUCAACAGCAUCACACCAAACUUGCAGAUGUAUUUCUUCGGGAAAAAGUUGAUGAUGCUCUCUUUCUGGGACAACAUACACCAGAACCUGCACCGACUUAUGCUGGAUAUAGUCAUUCUUCCUCAUUUGUUUGAGUCUGACUUCUAUUCAUCACAUAGGUGCUGUAUGAAUAAUUGCUGUGUAGCCUUUCUUCAGCAGUGGGUGCUCUUGAGUCUUGACUAUAGUUCCACUAGAUCCGAAGAAAAUGGAUCCUGGGGUUCCCUACAUGGGAUACAUGCUAGAUGAGCUAGGACUGGCACUACACUGUCUGCUAUGAGCUCCACCUGAAAGCCAAGAUUUAGCCUAGGGCCUGGGUUGGCGAUGAUUGCUGAGGUUUGACAUCGAUUUCACCUGAUAGGUGAGAAAACAAAGGAUGGUGAUAUGCAAGCUGCUCUACAGCUAGUAUCUAAAGCUGGCUACCGAAAGUUGGGGACUGCAGCAAUGGCAUCACAACCCAACAUUCGCAGGUUGGAGAUGAGGAUUUCGGAUAGCGAUAAGUGGAUGCGGGCGGAGGCGUUAACGUCUCUCCGCAAGAUCGUCAUUCUAGUUACAUACAUGCACUUGACCGCAAGUAAAGAAGUUGUUCUUUGUUCGGCGGAGCAAAUGCUCUGCCUUUUAGCAGAGAACUUGCGCCAUUUUUGCUGCUAUAUUCGCUGAGGGUGAUGAAAGUAGAAAAUAUUUGUACGAGCUUUUGUAGGAAAAAAAGUUGGCGAUGGGAGAAGGUCUUAUGGUCUUCGUAUUCAGUUCUCUGUGUUCUGUUUAGUGGACUGUACUUUCACUUUCAAGCGUGAACAUCACAGGUGGUGUUGUGUUUGCCAAAGGUUGGGAAUGACAGUAAUGUUGAUCUUGUGAUAA